UUUAACCUGACCUUUCUGCUAUCCUGGCCGAGGUGCUCGUCUUUUAAUGUUAGCCACUCAUGCUUUGUCUAAAGCUGUCUCUCUCACCACUCUGGGCAGACGCCCGCAUAGUGCAGGCUUUCAGCCGCUGGUCGUCCGACGCAGUGCGUUUUGCAUUCGGCUCAUUCCUCGCUUUGUCAUCUGGCUCAGUGUACUGUUUCUGUUCUGUUAACUCUGUUUCGUUCUUCUCGUUCCUCGCCCAAGAGGUAUACAGCACGCUCGUUCAGAAUCGGCGUGGCCACCACGGCCGCUAAGCGGGGUCUGUCCCCUACUGCGAUCAAGGCGCUGGGCCGUUGGUCGUCUGGCGCAUACGCUUCCUGCAUUUGCCUCACUCCUCAUCACGUCGUUGAAGCAUGCUAUAUCUGGUCACGAUUCCGGCUCUCUACCUACUGUCAUAAUCUAAGUUUUCAGCGCUCUCCUGACCAAGGUGCAUCUAUCAAUCAAAUCAUAACGCUCUGCUGUGUCUCUGCUCUCAGCGCAUCCGCGCCAUGUCUUCUCGCAUAGCCUAAGAUGGUGUCUCCUUGUAAGCGGUAGGUGAGUUCACUUCUAAUCUCUAUUUUGGGGCAGGCUACGCCCGCCUCCAUCUCCGCUGGAGGAUAUGCUGUCCUACCCCGGAGUUCAACGCGAAGACGGGAACCUUCGCCAAACAGAUUCAUGCAUUUUGUAUCAAGUGUAAUUGUUCGCCAAACGGAUUCAUGCAUUUUUGUAUCAUGUCUAUUGUUCAAUAAAUGUUAAUAACGUUCAUUUGCCUCUCGAGUCUUCAUGGUAGAAAUGGGAGCUUGCGUAAAUUCUACCAGGGAGACUCGAAUUUCUCGGCUGUCAAACUUACUAGGCUAACCAUCCAAUCUCCCUUUUGACAGAUCAUACAUGCGUCAUCAUUGCCCAGGGUCGUCAACCAAUCACAACGCGAGAUUCGGGAAUCCCCGUUAUGCAUCACUCAUGCAUCGUUCCCUCUCAGCCAAUGGAUCGCAUUCACGUUUGUUUAAAAAAUCAGUCACUCAUUCUGUUCUCUGCUUUCCAGUUAAGCCGAAUUUGAAACCACCACCACCCCUCCGUCCACCGUCACCAGUGGUUCCCGUCUGUUAGGGGGCAGGCUACGCCCGCCUCCAUCUCCGCUGGAGGAUAUGCUGUCCUACCCCGGAGUUCAACGCGAAGACGGGAACCUUCGCCAAACAGAUUCAUGCAUUUUGUAUCAAGUGUAAUUGUUCGCCAAACGGAUUCAUGCAUUUUUGUAUCAUGUCUAUUGUUCAAUAAAUGUUAAUAACGUUCA